rnacentral:ncRNA from 1 species
ACUUCCCUGCCGCCGGGUAGGAAAUUAAGCGUCAGACUUUCCAUCGUUAGGCCUUUGAAGACGGAAAGCUUUGGCGCUAUUUUUAU